UGGGGAAUUUUGGACAAUGGGCGAAAGCCUGAUCCAGCAAUGCCGCGUGUGUGAAGAAGGCCUUCGGGUUGUAAAGCACUUUUGUCCGGAAAGAAAUCCUUGGCUCUAAUACAGUCGGGGGAUGACGGUACCGGAAGAAUAAGCACCGGCUAACUACGUGCCAGCAGCCGCGGUAAUACGUAGGGUGCAAGCGUUAAUCGGAAUUACUGGGCGUAAAGCGUGCGCAGGCGGUUUGCUAAGACCGAUGUGAAAUCCCCGGGCUCAACCUGGGAACUGCAUUGGUGACUGGCAGGCUAGAGUAUGGCAGAGGGGGGUAGAAUUCCACGUGUAGCAGUGAAAUGCGUAGAGAUGUGGAGGAAUACCGAUGGCGAAGGCGAGCCCCCUGGGCCAAUACUGACGCUCAUGCACGAAAGCGUGGGGGAGCAAACAGGGUUAGAUACCCUGGUAGUCCACGCCCUAAACGAUGUCAACUAGUUGUUGGGGGAUUCAUUUCCUUAGUAACGUAGCUAACGCGUGAAGUUGACCGCCUGGGGAGUACGGUCGCAAGAUUAAAACUCAAAGGAAUUGACGGGGU
rnacentral:rRNA from 1 species